rnacentral:lncRNA from 1 species
AUUACAGAUAAAUCCUUUUCCUUACUGAGGUACAGUUACAUUUUUCCUACCUUUCACUAUUAAAAAUAGCACACAAAUACUCUUCUGCAGUGUGUGAGGGGUUCUCUAAGACCUAUCCCUGUAAGUGGGAACUAUUGGAAUGUGAGAUGUUCAUGUUUUCCAUUGUAACCUAAGUAUUUCAAAAUUGUUCAAAAUGCUUAUAAAAAGUCUUCCACCAGCAAUAAGAUUUCCUCUUGCUCCAUAUUGCCAGUAACCUGAUGUUUUUGGACUAUUGCCAAUCUGAUAAGUUUGAAAUUGUGUCUUUGAUGCUUUCAAAUUUAUGUUACUCUGAUUGCUAUUUAGGUUGGUGGUCCUUUCCUGUAUUUAUUGGCCAUUUGGUUUCCACUACCCUGUACUGCCUAUUCAUAUCCUUUGCAAAUUUUUCUGUUGUGAUGCUUUUUCCUGUUGAAUUGACAUGCUCUUUAUGUAUUAUUGAUAUUAACCUCUUGACAUUUAUAGAGGUUGCAAAUGUCUUCUCUCUGUUCCCGGCUUGGAUUUUCACUUUGUGAUUUUUGCCAUAUAAAAGUUCUUUAUGGCCAGGAGCGGUAGCUCACGCCUGUAAUCCCAGCACUUUGGGAGGCCAAGGCAGGCGGACCACGAGGUCAACAGAUUGAGACCAUCCUGGCCAACAUGGUGAAACCCCGUCUCUACUAAAAAUACCAAAAUUAGCUGAACAUGAUGGUGCAUGCCUGUAGUCCCAGCUACUCGGGAGGCUGAGGCAAGAGAAUCGCUUGAACUCAGGAGGCAGAGUUUGCAGUGAGCCUAGAUCGUGCCACUGCACUCCAGCCUGGCGACAGAGCAAGACUCCGUCAAAAAAAAAAAAAACUUUAAUAUUAAUGUAACUAUCUUCUUCACUGUUGGUGCAUGUUUAUGUGUUAAGAAAUCCUCAAUGUCAUAAGGAUAUUAACCUUUUUUCUUCUGAAUAUGGUUUUUCACUUUUUAGUCGUUAAGUAGUUUGGGAAUAUAUUUUUUGUAUGUUCAUGGUGUCUGCCUCUAUUUUUAUAAUUUUCAAUAUUCCUACCCAAUUUUCAUAGUACCACCUUUUUUCAAAAGUUUAUCUUGCCAUGCACAGUGGCUCUCAUCUGUAAUCCCAGCGCUUUGGGAGGCUGAGACAGGUGGAUCACUUGAGGUCAGGGGUUUGAUACCAGCCUAACCAACAUGGGAAAGCCUGUCUCUACUAAAAAUACAAAAAUUAGCCAGGUGUGGUGGUAGGCACCUGUAAUCCUGGCUACUCAGAAGGCUAAGGCAGAAGAAUCGCUUGAACCUGGGAGGCGGAGGUUGCAGUGAGCUGAGAUCGCACCACUGCACUCCAACUUGGGUGACAGAGCUCAAAAAAAAAGUGUAUUCACCUCUGUCAUAUCAGAUUUCCAUAUUAUUUGUAGUUCUUUCUGUAUGCUCUUCACCCCUACCAUAUCUAGCCCCAUCACCCUUGAUUAAAUAAAGCUUUAAAGUAAGAAUUACUCUCUGAUAGGAUGAGCACCAGAGCACCAUCAUUAUUCAGGUUAUUCACAAUUGUCUUAGCUAUCUUGAAGCCCUAUACUCUCCUAUGAAUUUUUGGAUCAGCUUGUGAAGUUCCUAAAAACCUUCAUAGGAUUUCAUUUGAAAAGAACUGCAUUGAAUUUAUAAGAUCAAUUUGAGGAGAAUGGUCAUAUUUAUACCAAGGCUUUGUAUUUAUGAACAUGGUAUAUCUAUCUCUCCAUUUAUAUCUUUUAUGCCCUUCAAUAAAGUUUUAUAAUUUUCAGCAUAAAGAUUUAAGAUUCACACCUGUCUUGUAGCUUUUGCAGCUCUUAUACAAAGUAACAUAUAUUCUUCUCCCAAGCCCAUAUAAUAAGUUGGAGUGGUAUAUUCCCUUAUUCGAUACUCUGAAAUAAUUGGAAUUUUUCAUUCCUUGAAUAUUUCAUAGAACUCACCAGUAAUACUAUUGGGGCCUAGAAUUCUCUUUGUGGUACAAUUAUUUUUAAAUUACUGAUUCAGUCAAGUACCAUGACUCAUACCUGUAAUCCCAGCAUUUUGGGAUGUUGAGGCAAGAGGAUCAUUUGAGGUUAGGGAUUCAAGACCAGUCUGGGUAACAAAGCAAGACUCUGUCUCUACAAAAAAAAAUUUUAAAAAUUAGCCAGGCAUGGUGGCACACAACUCUAGUCCUAGCUACUCAGGAGACUGAGGUGGGAGGAUCACUUGAGCACAAAAGGUCAAAACUGGAGUGAGCUGUGAUCACGGCACUGCACUCCAGCUUGGAUGACAAAGUGAGGCACUGUCUAAAAAAAAAAAAAAAGAAAAAGAAAAAAA